rnacentral:rRNA from 1 species
CCUACGGGAGGCAGCAGUAGGGCAUCUUUCACAAUGGGCGAAAGCCUGAUGGAGCAACGCCGCGUGCAGGAUGAAGGCCUUCGGGUUGUAAACUGCUUUUAUAAGCGAGAAAUAUGAGCGAAACGUAUGAAUAAGGAACGGCUAACUACGUGCCAGCAGCCGCGGUCAUACGUAGGACCCGAGCAUUAUGCGGAGUGACUGGGUGGAAAGAGUUGCGCAGGUGGUAUAAUUAGUGGCUAGUGAAAUCUGUUGGCUCAACCAUUCAGAACAUUAGCUAAACUAGUAAGCUCGAGAGCGUUAGGGGUAACUGGAAUUCCUUGUGUAGGAGUGAAAUCCGUAGAUAUAAGAAAGAACACCAAAAGCGUAGGCAGGUUGCUGGGACUGUUCUGACACUAAGGCACGAAAGCGUAGGGAGCAAACGGGAUUAGAUACCCUUGUAGUC